rnacentral:misc_RNA from 1 species
GAUGGGAUGCAGCCAGAAGAUGGAAGAACCUUGAAACCAAUAUGUCUGCUUCAAAUCCUGCGCUUAGGCGUGAUAAUUUAUGACUGGCUUGACAUACGCUUGCUGAAGGAUUAUUACAAUUUUGGAUUUGAUCAUUUUAACAUGUCAUGGAAGAAAAUGGGAAUUUUGGGUCUUUUUGAUUGUCUUUUGGGAAAUACUGGUCCAUUUGCGACAGGAGAUUGGAUACUUCCUGAUCUUACAAUUCAAGGGUCUAUGCAACUCAACUGUCGUCUUCAAACCUUUCCCAAUACAUACUAUUUCAACUAUGCUACUAAGCGUACUAGAAAAAUAAUGGGUGUCACAGUUCCUUCAAGCAUCCUUGGAAUCCAUCCAUUGCUCUUUAUAAGAGUGUUGCAAAUGAGCCAAUGGAGUUUUCCUCCAGAUAUCUCCCCACCUUACAAAGGAUACAGGUUUGUUUUAAACAGCAUAUUUUGUGAUAUUGCAAAAUUUUCCUCCAAAUACAUGCUUUAAUCUUGAGGUCAUUACAAUGAAUUUGACUUCAAUGUUUGCUUAUAAGGAAUAUGGAAUUCAUGAUUCUAUUCUAAAUAAAUUCCAAAAUUUGAAUUAUAAUACUGAUUUUCAACACUUAUGACAAUAGCCAAGGCAUUGUUGAACUUGAAGAAUAAUAAAUAAAAUUGCAUCACUGCUCAUGAUUGAGCGCAUGUAUCCGCAGGGAUGAGGACUGGCAGGAGAAUGAUGGAGCACUUAACACCAUAUCCACGACCCACCCUUGUAUCCCAAUCGAACAACCAAGCUGUAACAUUACAAAUGAUUCUGAGUGUCAACCCCUGCAACCAGGAAUCUGGUUAGUUAUCAAACUUUCCUCUCUUGUGUACACUCGCUUUUUGAGCAUCAAGAUUAUUUUUGCAAAAGUGAAAUUAUUGUUACAUGUCAAGACUAGCUAUUCUGUUGUAGCCACAAAAAUAAUUGUCAGCCAGGUUUCGUUUGUUAGACAUUUCAAAUCAUGAGACAUUCUGUUUCAGCUUUAAGCUAAUCUGAUAUGAGGUAAUUCUGUUUGUAGAAUUUCUCUAUCACUUUUUUCUGGCUUUAAGUGCUUAAACGUUUUCGUAAGUUCCUUUCCCUAGUUUUCAUAACAAGUGAAAAUGUAAACAAGAAACAAGACAUAAUUUAGGCUUCUUGAUGUUCAGGGAACUUGUAUGAAAACAUCUGAGUAACUAAGACACAUCUUGGUUCUGGAAAUUGGAGUUAUAAGUUAAAUAAGUUCAAUAUUAAUAACAAGUUGCAAUUGCAUUUCGAAAUCAAUUCCAAAUGAGGCUGUUCAAGAAAGUGAUAUUAGGAUAUCUGGUAAUAUUUUAUCUGUUUUUUGAUCCCUUAACAAGCUAACAUAGAGGUGGUAUCUGUUGGGAUGCAGGUACUAUAAGACUGUGGAAGCAGAUCAUAUUUUCUUCAUUGUGAACAGGGAAAGAGCAGGAGUUCAAUUUGAUCUUAUAUAUGAUAGCAUUUUUGAACGUUGCAGAAAGCAUGUAUUUAGGAAGAAUCCACAAACCCUACCAAACGAAGCACAACCCCACCAAUAGUUUAAUGAUAGCAUUGUUACUCCAUUCUUUAAAAUUAUCACAAUUGCAGUGGUAGUUUCUUUUUUUUUAUUUUUCCCCUUCCUUUCUGUUACUUUGUAAAUGCAAAUUUCAUCGAGGAAUUACUAUCGUGAGCAAUGUCAACCCAGGCUAGUCCUUGAAAAUGCCCUUUAGCUGUUCUUCUGCAGUCUUUUUUUUUCUUCCUUCCAGCUUUGCUAGAGACGUCAACGGCUUAGAUUGUAUAUUAGACUUUCUUAGGCCUACUAGUGUUGGUUGGUUGAUGUAAUUCCU